GACGAACGCUGGCGGCGUGCUUAACACAUGCAAGUCGAACGGAAAGGCCCUGCUUUUGUGGGGUGCUCGAGUGGCGAACGGGUGAGUAACACGUGAGUAACCUGCCCUUGACUUUGGGAUAACUUCAGGAAACUGGGGCUAAUACCAGAUAGGAGCUCCUACUGCAUGGUGGGGGUUGGAAAGUUUCGGCGGUUGGGGAUGGACUCGCGGCUUAUCAGCUUGUUGGUGGGGUAGUGGCUUACCAAGGCUUUGACGGGUAGCCGGCCUGAGAGGGUGACCGGCCACAUUGGGACUGAGAUACGGCCCAGACUCCUACGGGAGGCAGCAGUGGGGAAUAUUGCACAAUGGGCGGAAGCCUGAUGCAGCAACGCCGCGUGCGGGAUGACGGCCUUCGGGUUGUAAACCGCUUUCGCCUGUGACGAAGCGUGAGUGACGGUAAUGGGUAAAGAAGCACCGGCUAACUACGU
rnacentral:rRNA from 1 species